rnacentral:rRNA from 1 species
GAUGAACGCUGGCGGCGUGCCUAAUACAUGCAAGUCGAGCGAAUGGAUUAAGAGCUUGCUCUUAUGAAGUUAGCGGCGGACGGGUGAGUAACACGUGGGUAACCUGCCCAUAAGACUGGGAUAACUCCGGGAAACCGGGGCUAAUACCGGAUAACAUUUUGAACCGCAUGGUUCGAAAUUGAAAGGCGGCUUCGGCUGUCACUUAUGGAUGGACCCGCGUCGCAUUAGCUAGUUGGUGAGGUAACGGCUCACCAAGGCAACGAUGCGUAGCCGAACUGAGAGGGUGAUCGGCCACACUGGGACUGAGACACGGCCCAGACGCCUACGGGGGGCAGCAGUAGGGAAUCUUCCGCAAUGGACGAAAGUCUGACGGAGCAACGACGCGUGAGUGACGAAGGCUUUCGGGUCGUAAAACUCUGUUGUUAGGGAAGAACAAGUGCUAGUUGAAUAAGCUGGCACCUUGACGGUACCUAACCAGAAAGCCACGGCUAACUACGUGCCAGCCGCCGCCGUAA